CCUACGUGAGACAGCAGUGGGGAAUAUUGGGCAAUGGGCGCAAGCCUGACCCAGCAACGCCGCGUGAAGGAAGAAGGCUUUCGGGUUGUAAACUUCUUUUCUCAGGGACGAAGCAAGUGACGGUACCUGAGGAAUAAGCCACGGCUAACUACGUGCCAGCAGCCGCUGUAAUACGUAGGUGGCAAGCGUUAUCCGGAUUUACUGGGUGUAAAGGGCGUGUAGGCGGGAAAGCAAGUCAGAUGUGAAAACCAUGGGCUCAACCUGUGGCCUGCAUUUGAAACUGUUUUUCUUGAGUACUGGAGAGGCAGACGGAAGUCCUAGUGUAGCGGUGAAAUGCGUAGAUAUUAGGAGGAACACCAGUGGCGAAGGCGGUCUGCUGGACAGCAACUGACGCUGAGGCGCGAAAGCGUGGGGAGCAAACAGGAUUAGAUACCCCUGUAGUC
rnacentral:rRNA from 1 species